UGGGGAAUCUUGCGCAAUGGGCGAAAGCCUGACGCAGCAACGCCGCGUGUGUGAUGAAGGUCUUCGGAUCGUAAAGCACUGUCGCGAGGGAAGAUACGCCUCUGGCUAACAUCCAGAGGCUAAGACGGUACCUCGAGAGGAAGCACCGGCUAACUCUGUGCCAGCAGCCGCGGUAAUACAGAGGGUGCGAGCGUUGUUCGGAAUUAUUGGGCGUAAAGCGCUUGUAGGCGGCCUGUCAAGUCGCGUGUGAAAUCCCCUGGCUUAACCAGGGAAGUGCGCGCGAAACUGGCGGGCUUGAGUGCCGGAGAGGGUCGCGGAAUUCCCGGUGUAGAGGUGAAAUUCGUAGAUAUCGGGAGGAACACCAGUGGCGAAGGCGGCGACCUGGACGGACACUGACGCUGAGACGCGAAAGCGUGGGGAGCAAACAG
rnacentral:rRNA from 1 species